UACCAUGCUGGUUCUCGUUAGAUCACCGAAGUAGCAUCAUUGGGCGCGGUCAGUACUUCAAAUGGGUGACCACCUGGGAAAAACCGCGUGCCGU